rnacentral:piRNA from 1 species
UGGCUACAAUGAGAGCUAGUUCUCAGGGA